rnacentral:rRNA from 1 species
AUAUCAAUAAGCGGAGGAAAAGAAACCAACAGGGAUUGCCUCAGUAACGGCGAGUGAAGCGGCAACAGCUCAAAUUUGAAAUCUGGCUCUUUCAGGGUCCGAGUUGUAAUUUGUAGAAGAUGCUUCGAGUGUGGUACCGGUCUAAGUUCCUUGGAACAGGACGUCAUAGAGGGUGAGAAUCCCGUAUGUGACUGGUCACCUUCGCUCAUGUGAAGCUCUUUCGACGAGUCGAGUUGUUUGGGAAUGCAGCUCAAAAUGGGUGGUAAAUUUCAUCUAAAGCUAAAUAUUGGCCAGAGACCGAUAGCGCACAAGUAGAGUGAUCGAAAGAUGAAAAGCACUUUGGAAAGAGAGUUAAACAGUAC